CCGGGGCUGACGGCAUGGAUGCCGUCAGAGGGCGUGAGCCACAUGGAUGUGGCGUCGCGCCCGGUCCCG
rfam:Escherichia hermannii NBRC 105704 DNA, contig: EH10570428.